UCUGGAGAAACAGCUACGGCCAUCCCAGCCCUGGCCAAGGGGAAAAUGCCGGAAGACUCCAGGGUGGGAGGAAGCGCGUCCCAAGGCCCAGGAUCUGCGAGGCGACUCGGGGAAAACGCAGGCAGAAAAUAAAGCACGCGAAGAAGUUAACUCGGUGCCAUUGGGCAGAGGGUGAGAGCCCAGCAAACCAGAGAGAUCAGCUUGCCCACAUCAGUGGCGAGGAGUGCGGAGAGUGGGUGAGGCUGGGGCAGGAAGCAGGCCAGCCUGCCAGAGCCCAGGAACAGGUGAAGGGACCUGCUGAAGCUCACACCCGUGGACCACCCAGACUGCCUGCCGCUACAGGAUGCCCUCCGCAUCUCCCAGGACUUCUUUCUGGCAUCAGUGUGGACAUUGACCCCGCUGGACUGCAGUCACAGUGGACUCCCAAGGGCAGGAUCCACCUCUGAUGUUCAGUGAAGACUACCAGAAAAGUCUGCUAGAGCAGUACCAUCUGGGUCUGGAUCAAAAACGCAGAAAAUACGUGGUUGGAGAGCUCAUCUGGAAUUUUGCCGAUUUCAUGACUAACCAGUAGUGUGUGCAGUGGACCCCAUCAUGGAGAAGUUCAACACAUCCAGCCUACGACCAGCACCUGUGGGAGGUGGAUAUUCAAGGCAGCAGAGCCUACAGCCGGGGCGUGGAGAAGGCAGGGCUCCUCCCCAAGGCCGAGAUGGAUGGUUUUACGUUGAACUAAUUAUAUACUCAAGUGCUGUUUAA
rnacentral:sRNA from 1 species